rnacentral:rRNA from 1 species
CUCCUACGGGAGGCAGCAGUGGGGAAUCGUUGCACAAUGGGGGAAACCCUGGAUGCAGCGACGCCGCGUGAGCGAUGAAGCCCCUCGGGGUCGUAAAGGCUCUUUCGGCAGGGAAGAUUAUGACGGUACCUGCAAAGCAGCUGCGGCUAACUACGUGCCAGCAGCCGCGGUAUAC